UAUAUAUUUAUAUAUAUAUAAAUGGAGAGGAACUUAAGGGUCUAUUUGGUUUUACGUAAAACUAUUAAAAAUAAUUUUAUAUAAUUUUUUUUAUUAUAUGAUGUAUUAUUUAUAUAAAAAACUGCUAUAUUAUAUAUAUUAUAAUUAAAAUUUAUAUCUAUAUAUAUAUAUUAUUAUUACUAUCGUCAUCAUCAUCAUUUAUAUUUAUAAUUUAAAUAUAUAAAAAUUAUAUAAUAUAAUAUAAUAUAUAAUAAUUUAUAUAUAACAUAUAAUAUAUAAUAACACGUAUAAAAUAUAAAAUAUAAUAUAUAAAUAUAUAUUUAUAAAUAAAGUAAUAUAUAAUAGUACAGUAAUUAAUUCCAAAGAAUUUUCAUCAACGGAAAAUGAAAACUUAAUUUUUCCUCAAAUCUAUAAAAAAGAAUAUUUUUACAGGAAAAUUAUUUUACGUCGAACCAAACGAGUGGUUUUUUCGUUCGUUUUACAUCGAACCAA
rnacentral:lncRNA from 1 species